CGCUCCAGUGGCCUAGUGGUUAGAGCGUCCGCUUCGGAUGCGGGAGGUCUUGGGUACAAACCCCGACCGAGUUA